rnacentral:rRNA from 1 species
AGGGCCCCCUCGACGCGACCCCAGGUCAGGCGGGGCUACCCGCUGAGUUUAAGCAUAUCCAUAAGCGGAGGAA